GCUGGGGGCCGACCUCACUCUUUGUUGUUGCUGCUGCUGCUCUCCAGGUCUGGAAUUUCUGCAGACAUCAUGAGCCAAUCGGAAAGGCAGCCACAGCUUGGCCUGGCCUCGGAGGUUGCCCUGGCACAAUUUUGCACGUCACAUCCAUGCCAUGCAUUCACUUCUAGCUGGGCAUGGCCUCCGAGAUCACAUUGGCACCGAUGGAAUUUGAUGCCAAUGCAGUCAGCUCGGCCACGAGCCAGCUGAGCCAAGCUGGUACGGCAAAGUUCGCCUGCUUCCUCGACAUCGCACAGCGACGCUCUGUGUUAUGUGCCACGAGCUGCUUGAGCGCAACGAGCCACGUGGUCUACCAAAAGGGAACAAUAACAGUUAACAAAGUUAUGUCAGCUGCCCUUCAACUUCGUUAUAAGUGUUACAUUCUCCCUCUUGGACAAGUGCAGUUUUUAUAAUAGCUCUUUUCUUCCUCAAAAAGCAAAUGCAUUCAGGGCACAGUGACAAAGCACCCUUUCAAUACAUCAUAAAAAGCCAUGUCAUCCCUAAUGUAAACAGCCAUUGAUUUGUAGGCCCACCUAGUCUUGCCAGUUCUGCUAUAGCACCCUCAAAAACAAGAUAUGAAACCUUAGUGGUAAUAGUUUCACCAUUUUGCAACAUGCCACAACCCCAAUUUUGGAUAGAACGUACUUCGGAUAUAACAGACCUUUCUCACUGGAUUAUCACGGUCCAUUGUAACAGGCAUUGAUUUUAUUCUGUGUUUUCUGGCCAUGGCGAGAACUUUUUAUGGACACUAGAUAAAGCUUUCCCCUAUACUUACGACGGCAACGUACUGCGCAGAGUAUGUAACAUUUUAGGCUGUUCAAGUGCACUUUGUGGUAAUUUCCAUGGCGCACAGAAUCAUGUCAUGUGUUUCACAUGUCAAUCUUGACGAGCACAUUAAAAAAAAAAAAGAAAGGAAA